UACGUAGGGGGCGAGCGUUGUCCGAAGUUACUGGGCGUAAAGCGCGUGUAGGCGGGUUCUUAAGUGAGAGGUGAAAGGUUCAGGGCUCAACCCGGACACUGCCUUUCAUACUGGGAAUCUUGAGUGCGGGAGGGGCGAGUGGAAUGGUCGGUGUAGCGGUGAAAUGCGUAGAUAUCGAUCGGAACACCCAUGGCGAAGGCAGCUCGCUGGCCUGUAACUCACGCUGAGACGCGAAAGCGUGGGGAGCAAACAGG
rnacentral:rRNA from 1 species